rnacentral:rRNA from 1 species
AUUGAACGCUGGCGGCAUGCCUUACACAUGCAAGUCGAACGGCAGCACGGGCGCAAUCCUGGUGGCGAGUGGCGAACGGGUGAGUAAUGCAUCGGAACGUACCCGGAAGUGGGGGAUAACGUAGCGAAAGUUACGCUAAUACCGCAUAUUCUGUGAGCAGGAAAGCGGGGGAUCUUCGGACCUCGUGCUUUCGGAGCGGCCGAUGUCGGAUUAGCUAGUUGGUGGGGUAAAGGCCUACCAAGGCGACGAUCCGUAGCAGGUCUGAGAGGAUGAUCUGCCACACUGGGACUGGGACACGGCCCAGACUCCUACGGGAGGCAGCAGUGGGGAAUUUUGGACAAUGGGCGAAAGCCUGAUCCAGCCAUUCCGCGUGCAGGAUGAAGGCCCUCGGGUUGUAAACUGCUUUUGUACAGAACGAAAAAGCUCUGGUUAAUACCUGGAGUCCAUGACGGUACUGUAAGAAUAAGCACCGGCUAACUACGUGCCAGCCGCCGCCGUAA